rnacentral:lncRNA from 1 species
GCUGCUGCACCUGCGCUCGCUCCGCCGCUUCGAGCACAGCGGCGGCUGGAUCCGCGCGCUCAUGGAGGAGGCCGAGAACGAGCGCAUGCACCUCAUGACCUUCAUGGAGGUGACGCAGCCGCUGUGGUGGGAGCGCGCGCUCGUGCUCGCCACUCAGGGCGUCUUCUUCAACGCCUACUUCGUCGGCUACCUCAUCUCCCCAAAGUUCGCGCACCGCUUCGUCGGCUACCUCGAGGAGGAGGCCGUCCACUCCUACACCGAGUACCUCAAGGACCUCGAGGCCGGCUUGAUCGAGAACACGCCCGCGCCGGCCAUCGCCAUCGACUACUGGCGCCUCCCCGCCGACGCCAGGCUCAAAGACGUCGUCAUCGCCGUGCGCGCCGACGAGGCGCAUCACCGCGACGCCAACCACUACGCAUCGGACAUCCAUUACCAGGGAAUGACGCUGAAUCAGACGCCUGCGCCGCUCGGGUACCACUGAUCAGUUCAAUGGACCAUAGGUCGAUGCCUGCUCAGUCCACCGCUGUCACUUACUACCACUGUCGCCUACGUUUGUCCCGUUAAAUUUGAGAUGGAUUUUUUGUGUCACUUUGUACCCAAAGAUAUGUUUGCCUAAGCCGUUAAUUCCUGUAAAUAUGAUUUUUUUAACAUCAGUACAGACGCAAGCGCUCAUAUAUAUACACGCAUACACCGUAGGCGCCUCGUCAUCGACGGAAACGUCUCCUCCCACUGAAAACGUAUCACCGGAAAUUCUGAAAUAAAUCCAGGAAUAAUGCGAGCACCAGGACUUCAACCCUGGUGGACUGGGGAUACCACUGUCCCUCUAACCAUCCAACAACAUGUUGGUUCGCCUGUAAAUACGAUUUGAUUACUUCAGAAAAAUAUAUUACCUUCAUCCUAAAAAACUUGUUUUAGAUUUAUCUAGAUACAUAUGAAUCUAAUAUUAAAAUAUUUCUAGAUACAUCCGUAUUUAGAAAAAUCUAAGACAAAACUUUUUGGGACAGAGGAAGUAUGUUACUUGACAAUAAUGAUAUUUUUAACAUACGUGCAAUAUGCAUACUUUCCUCGAAAAAAUACCACCCACCAAAACAUCUCAUCGUUAAAACUCUUAAAUCAUAAAAUAUCAAUGGACUUGCAUAUUGACAGGUUGUUGAGAAAAAUAACUUCGUAUAUGCUCUCCGAUCUAUUAGUAUUUGUGAUGACCAUCUUUAGAUGAAUGAUCUUAAAGAGAGAGGGAGAGAGAUGUGUGUGGUAGUUGGGUUUAACCUUGACAAUAAUCUAUCUCUACGACAAAAAGAGAAAAAUCUUCUACUCCCUCUGUAAAUUAAUAUAAGAGCAUUUAUAUCACUAAAGUAGUAAUCUAAACGCUCUUAUGUUAGUUUACGGAGGGAGUAUUACGUAAUUGCCAUUAAGGGUAAAAACUCUCUCCGUCCCACAAUAUAAGGUCGCUUGAAAAACUUAUAGUGGACGGAGGGAGUAGUUGCCUAGUUGUCUCAGUGGUGAGUUGGAGGUAAAGAGAAUACAUUGUCGACAUUACAUUACUCUUUGUUUAAUCUUUUAUGCAAUACUCUUUUUUACUUAAUACUCUCUAUGUUUUUAUUUACUUCACAUAUUAGAUUUGUCUUGAGUCAAACUUUGUGAGCUUUGACCAAGUUUAUAUAAAACAUUAUUAACAUCCAUAAUACCAAAUCAAUACCAUUAAAAUCAGCAUUCAAUAUAUUUUCAUACCAUAUAUUUGUUAUUUUCAAAGUUCAAUUGUUUUCGAUAAACUUGGUCAAACUUUAAAAAGGUUUGACUUUGGUCAAAGCUAAUAUGUGGAGUAAAUAAAAACGGAGGGAGUACUUAGAGAUGCAUGCUGGAUAGUGGUCUCGAGCAAAGUAUUAGCUGUAGAUGCAGUUGGACAACAAUAUAGGGUUAUAAGAGCAUCUGCAAAGAAGACUCUCAAAGCUGCGGUAUAGUCCGGGUUAUGGUGUCCAGACCAUUUGUGUCAACUUUUUGUCAUCCUAAUGGGGACCCCCAUCGGUCCAUGAAGUGGCCCGGGCGUCCGUGUUCUGGCAAAUCCGAGACAAAUGUGGGAGAGCUUUGCCGAAGUCUAGAUAUCCACUUGACCAACCAAAAGUAACCACGUGGACCUCCUCUCUUUUCUCUCUCUCCACAUGCAUGGUCCCCCUCUCCUCUCUCUCCUCCCAACUAGACAUCACACCAAAAAUCCCACCAUAUGCAUGGUCCCUCUCUACUCUCUUCUCCCAACCGGAUUAAUUUUAGCUUUGGAUGAUUCCCUCCGGCAUCAUGUUCGCGGACCACGUCUGGACAUAAAAACAGGCAUAUACCACAACCGUUUGCAUGUCAGCUUUGGAGAUGCCCUAAGGAUGUAAUGACUAUAUGAAUUAUAUAUUGUCGAUCAUAAAAACUAUAAUUUAAUUGAUAAGUAACUGCAAUUUGUUCACCACACUGAUGCUAUGUUUUCUUUGGGAGAUGCCACUAGUGAAGUUAUGGAUCAUGGUCUCAAUUCCUCAUAAGCAUGACCUCGAUCACUUUUGCUAUUAUUCUCUACAAUCUGAGCUGUUUUUAAUUUUUGUUUUAUAAAUCAAUUCCAAACAUAUGAUUCACUUAUCUUUGUAAAUAUCAAAGCUAGUGAGAUUGAUAACCUCACUAGACAAGUUGGGACCAAGAAGAAAUUCUUAUUUGUGUGCAAGUAUUGAUAAUUGACUCGUAACUUGAGCACCCCACUAAUUGAUAAAUUGCUUUUUCACUGAUGGAAAAUUGCUACUUGCUAUAAACCCUUACUCGUAGGGGUUCAACAAUUUUCUAUAAAGAUAAUAAGAAGCACUAAAUCGAAGGCUCGACAAAUCAUGAUAAUUGAUUUGAAGAUAGUCAAAGAGAGAAGGGGCGAUCCACUCUGGUUCCAGGUAGGGAUGGCAAUGUGUCCCCAUACUCUUCAUACCCUGGGGAUUUCAUAUAUUAGGGGGCGGGGAUGGGAGAAAACCUUCCCCAUGGGAUAUUUACUGAACUAAUAUGUUCCCCGUACGGUACAUUUGGGAUGGGGAUGAUAUCUUAUUCCCCAGACCUGAUACUCAUCAGGGGCCCGCUUUAUAAAUAAGACAAGUAAUACCAUGUAUAUAUCCAUAUAUACACUUAGGUCAACCCUAAAAUAUUCAAAAACAAAAUCGCAAAACCAUGAACCCGUGGAAGAAAACCUUGAACCUACCUCUUGUCCUCACCUCAACCAUCGUCAUGACCAAGAAGUCAGUACAACCUAGAUCUGCAACAACAGGACAAGGACAACCCCAUGUUUUAUUCAAACGUAUACAUGUUGAUUAUAGUAUAACAUAUAGGAGUAUUUUCUAUUGGGAUUGGGGCCCUAAUGGACCCCGUUCCCCAGUGGGGCAUGUGUAUGGGGAAGUUUCAUCCCUAGUCAUGUAAACAAGGAUAUGGAUGGGAUGAUGGGGAAUAGAUGGGGACAUGGAUGUUCUAGGGUUCCCCAUAGGGGAUUUUCCCCAUUGCCAUCCCUAGUUCCAAGCAAGUUGUGAAACUAUUCAUCCACCACCCUUGCCAUAUCCUCAUGAUCAACAUAUAAUGCGCCCAUCCAUCUUGAGCUUGCCGACGAAAUUCUUGCACUUCAUGUUACUGGCAUGUAGGUGAAAGAACUGUGUAUUCGCACCCCCUCCUUCAGGGAGAGCAACCUGGAUAGUUGGUGUGCCAUGAUCAUCUCGAGCGAUGCUAGACCUAGCAAUUUCUUCUUGAGCAAUUUAUGUAGAGCCCUCUCAUGUCCUGAAAGAGGCAUGCACUCCAGAGCAAACAUCUAAGCAAAAGACUAACUCAGUGGCAAUCCAUAUCUAGAUCUUGGUUUUUUGCCUAUGAAUUUGGUACUUCAACUUUUCAAUCGUCCAACCACAACCCUCAAUUUCGCAGGCACCCUCUUAAAUAGAUUUUUAAUUUGCGCGUAGGAUAUCCAUAUGCCAGUCACCACAUCCUUGAAGCAUGUCACCUUCAGCCAAUAGGACUUGAAUUGGAAGCGGCUGCCAGAAUUGGGAUUGGCGUCAAGAUCCAUAUAAGCAGCAGGUAGUGGUCGUAAGCAAAGUUUUGGCUAUCGAACUGAUAUUUUUUACUGUAAGGCAGAAUUUGAGGAUACACUGGUUGCCGAAAAAUACCACGCAACCACCGCUUGAAAUAUUCAAACAAUAUUUUAACAUUCUAGCCUAUACUACAAAUAUGUAUCAAACUCCCUAAAGAGUGCUGCUAUACACACGAUACCUGUUGGACGAUUGCUGGACGAUACUGCAAAUCGGACCAUCCAUGCGUAGGAUUAGGUGCAACGCAGCCGGUGGAUUAACUAUCGUGCAUGAAUCGUCCAGCAGGCAUCGUUUGUGAAGUAGUUUCGCUCCCUAAAUAAACAAUUAUGAUGCUACCAUGAUGUUGACCUCCAAAGGAGAAGACUAGUACUACUAGUAUGCAUGCACGGCCGUCCCGUGGCAUCUACGCACGGGCAAGUCAAGGUCGCAGGGCGUUCGUGUUCGGAUCGAAAAGCGCAACCUGAAUCUGAUGGCAACAUACGCUGCGUCAAGCUGUCAACAGAGAUGUCUCGCGAACUCCCCCGGAAGCCGGCGAGGACGGGGCCGGUGGGCUAGGGAUUCCCCCGUCCGCGCGCGGGAGCGGUGGGAGAGGAGGGGAGAGUUCCGUGUAGUGUUGUAAGAGCAUCUACAGUCGGAUUUAACAAAUCCGGUCUCUCAAACGCCCACGGACACGUCCGGGCGCCUCUGUGGGUAUUGAUCGGCAUCCCUCAAAUGCUACGUCGUACAUUCACAUACCGCGAAUUUCGAUUCUUAAAUCUAUACAAUCCGUGCACGUCGAUCAUACGAUACAAACUGUCCAAAUGUCAAAGUUCGAAACAAAGCAAAUCAAUUCAUAGUUCAACAAACAUGACAUGGCAAAAUGAAAUCAAUGUCCGAGCAUGACGGAUGGCCUCGGAUCACUGGUUGGACGCAUGCUCCGAGCGGAAGGCGUCCUUCUCCAGGCGGAAUGCGUCUUGCUCUGCCCGCAUCCGGGCUGCCUCCUCCGCCUGCAUCCGGGCAGCCUCCUCCGCCUGCAUCCGGGCCGCAGCCGCCCUCGCCGUCUCGUAGUCCCGACGGUUGUUGAUCUCCUUCUUCUUGUCCGCAAUCCAUUUCUUCGCAUGCUCACCCAAGAGGGUCUCGUCCGUCAAUAUGAUCCUCGCAUCUUCCGCGUCCCGUGCGAAUUGCAACCUCUCCUUCUCAAGCUCUAUGUCGCCAAAUGUUUUGGUCUUCUCGAGCUCCUGUUUGAUCGCCGCUUGUUGCUUGUCCAACUCGAUCUUCUCCCUCUCAAUCUCCAGCUUCUUUUUCGCCCUCUUCCGGUCUCAUUCCAUCCUUUCCUUUUGCGCAUCGGAGGAGACAGCUGCUCCACCAUGUAUGAACCUCCCUACGACGCCGCCACCUCCCUCUCUCGAUGCCGGCGUCGUGACAACUUGCGGGCGACAUUCUCCGCCUUGCAAGUCACAGUCAACGAAUUGACGCCGCUGACUGACGAGGCGGACUACAUCUCCAUCGCGACGGAGUGUGUUGGGCUGGACGACAUCUUCGACGGUGGAUAGGGACCGAAGGUGAGGAUUGAGAGCAAGAGUGGAGGAUGACGAGGGUCCGGGCGUGGGAAUGGUUGAAGGGCGGCAGGAGGAGGAGGAAGAGUUUGGUGGAUUUGAUGCAAUUUAGGGUGGGAUCGGGCUGUCGGGUCCGACGUGGCGGGCGUGCCCGGGCGCCCCCAUAUCCGCCUCAUAUUUGAGCUGGAUAUGGGGGGUGCCGGUCAGUCCGGGCGUUGGAGGCCCGUUUAAGGAUCCCGUCUGGAUCAAAAAAUCGUGAUCGGACGGCCCAGCCGGGCAUAUGAGGCGGGUUUGAGAGGUCCGGUUGUAGAUGCUUUUUUUUGAAUUGUUUGGAUUGCUUAUCACAUGUAUCAUGUGGUCCGGUCGUAGAUGCUUUUAAACCUCAUAUUUAGGUACAGAUGGAGCGUUUAAAUUCAAAAUGUCAAACACAAAUUGUUAUUUUUUGUGAUAUGUUUGUUUUAUCAGGGACAGCGAGAAACGUUUUUUCCUUUGAAUUUUUCAGCCGGGCCGUGGCCAGCUUCUAGAGAUAGUUGAGCCGAUGGAAUCUUUCAUGGAACAUCCUCAUGAAAGAAGACGGCGAACGGCCAACUCGCCUUACCGGUUGACCCCAAAGGUGAAGACUAGUAUGCAUGCACGGCAGUCCCGUCCCGGCCCAUAGGUCGGGCAAACGGGGCGCCCGCCCUGGGCCCCGAGGAGGCAGGGGCCCCGGCCCAGGUAGUAUACCUUCAUCAUAGAGCCCACAAAAAAUACACGAAAACAAAACGUCGAAGGAACGCCCAUUAGGCAAACCUCACGAAGGAAUUGAUCGAUAAUCAAUCUGUUUGCACGGGACCCUAGAUCAGCGAUUCCUCUGCUUUGCCAAAUCCCAGACUCAGCGCCGCCCCUCCGAUGCCUCUCCGAUUCCGAAGUCGUGGCCGGCUAUUAAAGGAUAGCUACGGCGCAAAUUAUUCCCCAAUCAGCACCCCUUCCUUUCUCAACGCCCUGCCCGUUUCCUAUACUUUGGAGAGACUGGGAAGGUACUUACUUGUUCUUCUUUCCUGUAAUUUCGUUCUUCAAUUCCAAGAUUCGUUGAUAAGUAGCUCUGCGCACGAUUCAACGUCGCACAUCCGCUACAUCUGCAUGGAUCUUCUUCUGUUCUUCAUUGGAUCCAAAUGCGAGAGUGCAUGAGACUAGGGGAAGGGAGAGAUUUUAUCCCCUUCAUCGUGUCGUCUUCUUUGUUCCUGCUAACUACUGCGGCGUACGGAUCAAGCCAUUUACAUCCACAUCAAUCAAUAUCCAGGUUCUUUUGAUCCAUGUAUUAACCGUUUGUACGCAGCUUGUUCAGUGACAUGUCUUCAAAAAAUUAUUUGUCUGGUAGUAGAAUCUCAAAAUGGAUCAAUUAAUAUUAACUUUUUCAAAACUAGAACUCCAAGGUUUGGUCAUCAUAGUAUAAAAAUGAAAUAUUCAGUUUGCUUUGCUAUGCCUUAUGCAGGAUAAUUUGGAAGAGGUGAAUUAUCAUUUGGGUGAAGAAUUUUGGAGUGAAGAAACAUGACAGAUUGGGGAGGAUCCAGAACAAAUGUAAGUUGACGCAUUAGUUUUAUAUCUCAUGGUAACAGAAAUGUUUAAGUAGCAAUCAGUUUUUACAAGGGCAUUUGUUGUGCAGAAAAAAUGAUGUCUCUCUUGACAAUUAGGAAAUCGAUCCUUUGUGGAGCUAUAUUGUUUCACUACUAUUCCGAUGCACUUCUCUUGAUCGAUAAUUAAUGGCACUGCCAGUCUAAGAGUCCAAAAAUCAUCAAUCUAUGCUAUGUAUUGUAUAUUUACAUUACUUUUGAAAAGAAAAAUUGAGUUUUUGUGUUUCAUGAAGGGCCCCUUGUUUUUGUCUUGCCCCGGGCCCCAUGUAUCUGUGGGACGGCCCAUGUCCCGUGGCAUCUACGCACAGGCACGGGAAGUCAGGCUGGCAGGGAGUUCGUGUCCGGAUCGCAUUCGCACAGCGCAACCUGAUGGCAACAUACACUGCGCCGGUCAACCGAGAUGUCUCGCGAACUCCCCCGGAAGCCGGCGAUGACGUCCCCGUCAUGAGCGUUCGUGUUGGUCCGUUUAUAAAAACUUAUCUAGCUGACAGACACUUGCACGGCAAGGAAUUAGUUGGAUUAUUAUGCACCAGCGCGCCGCCGCGCCACGGCUGUGCUGCACUGUCCAAGAAGCAAGAACAAACGCAAAAAAUUUGGAACGUCGCAGCUGUAGCUGGUGGACGAGCGCGCACAUGUCUUCUUUUUCCAGGGAGAGUGCCCACAUGUUGUCUGGUGACAUUCCCGGAAGCACCGUGCCGGCCGAGCCCCCUCCCUAUAAAACCAUCUCCGGCAAGACGUCGGCAAGCCAUCCAUCGAUCAACACCAACAGAAAUCACUUCCCACCCCGCCAACAAAAACAGACUUCCCAUUCGAUCCGCCACAAGAAAAUACUCCCAAGCUUUCGGUCGCUUUAGUUGUUCAACAGCCAACACCAUGAGCUCUCGGAUGGCCGGAGCCACGCUGCUGCGCCACCUGGGCCCCCGCCUCUUUGCCGCCGCCGAGCCGGCCUCCGGGCUCGCCGCCAGCGCGAGGGGCAUCAUGCCCGCCGCCGCGAGGAUCUUCCCCGCGCGGAUGGCCAGCACCGAGGCCGCCGCCCCGCAUGCCAAACAAGAAGAUGAUGCCGGAACACCCCAGGCGGCCGCGACUCCAGAGCAGCAGAGCAAGAAGGCCGUGGUGAGCUACUGGGGCAUCGAGCCGCGGAAGCUCGUCAAGGAGGACGGCACGGAGUGGCCGUGGUUCUGCUUCAGGCCGUGGGACACGUACCGGCCGGACACGUCCAUCGACGUCACCAAGCACCACGAGCCCAAGGCCCUGGCGGACAAGGUGGCCUACUUCGUGGUUCGGUCGCUGCGUGUGCCGCGGGACCUCUUCUUCCAGCGCCGGCACGCCAGCCACGCGCUGCUGCUGGAGACUGUGGCGGCGGUGCCGCCCAUGGUGGGCGGCGUGCUGCUCCACCUGCGCUCGCUCCGCCGAUUCGAGCACAGCGGCGGCUGGAUCCGGGCGCUCAUGGAGGAGGCCGAGAACGAGCGCAUGCACCUCAUGACCUUCAUGGAGGUGACGCAGCCGCGCUGGUGGGAGCGCGCGCUCGUGCUCGCCGCGCAGGGCGUCUUCUUCAACGCCUACUUCGUCGGCUACCUCAUCUCCCCCAAGUUCGCGCACCGCUUCGUCGGCUAC